GAUGAACGCUGGCGGCAGGCUUAAUACAUGCAAGUCGAACGGUAACAUUACGGAGCAAUUCGUAGAUGACGAGUGGCGGAUGGGUGCGUAACGCGUAUGCAACCUACCUUUAACUGGGACAUAACGUUGAGAAAUCGGCGCUAAUAUUCCAUAUGUUUCUAUAAAGGCAUCUUUAUAUAAAUAAAGAUUUAUUUCGGUUAAGGAUGGGCAUGCGUAUCAUUAGCUAGUUGGUAGGGUAAGAGCUUACCAAGGCAACGAUGAUUAGGGGUUCUGAGAGGAUAACCCCCCACACUGGAACUGAGACACGGUCCAGACUCCUACGGAGGCAGCAGUAGGGAAUAUUGGGCAAUGGAGGCAACUCUGACCCAGCCAUGCCGCGUGAAGGAAGACAGUCUUAUGGAUUGUAAACUUCUUUUAUCAUAGAGUAACCACUGGGACGCGUUCCUGGUCUGCACGUAUAUGAUGAAUAAGCAUCGGCUAACUCCGUGCCAGCAGCCGCGGUAAUACGGAGGAUGCNAGCGUUAUCCGGAUUU
rnacentral:rRNA from 1 species